rnacentral:rRNA from 1 species
CACGUAGGGAGCAAGCGUUGUCCGGAUUCAUUGGGCGUAAAGAGCUCGUAGGCGGCUUGAUAAGUCGGAUGUGAAACCUCCAGGCUCAACCUGGAGUCGCCAUCCGAUACUGUCAUGGCUAGAGUCCGGUAGGGGCCCACGGAAUUCCUGGUGUAGCGGUGAAAUGCGCAGAUAUCAGGAAGAACACCCGUGGCGAAGGCGGCUCUCUGGGACGGUACUGACGCUGAGACGCGAAAGCGUGGGGAGCGAACAGG